rnacentral:rRNA from 1 species
GAUGAACGCUGGCGGCGUGCCUAAUACAUGCCAGUCGAGCGAACGGACGAGAAGCUUGCUUCUCUGAUGUUAGCGGCGGACGGGUGAGUAACACGUGGAUAACCUACCUAUAAGACUGGGAUAACUUCGGGAAACCGGAGCUAAUACCGGAUGAUAUUUUGAACCGCAUGGUUCAAAAGUGAAAGACGGUCUUGCUGUCACUUAUAGAUGGAUCCGCGCUGCAUUAGCUAGUUGGUAAGGUAACGGCUUACCAAGGCAGCGAUGCAUAGCCGACCUGAGAGGGUGAUCGGCCACACUGGAACUGAGACACGGUCCAGACUCCUACGGGAGGCAGCAGUAGGGAAUCUUCCGCAAUGGGCGAAAGCCUGACGGAGCAACGCCGCGUGAGUGAUGAAGGUCUUCGGAUCGUAAAACUCUGUUAUUAGGGAAGAACAUAUGUGUAAGUAACUGUGCACAUCUUGACGGUACCUAAUCAGAAAGCCACGGCUAACUACGUG